GGCAGUGCUAGAGCUGGGGUCCAGUAACAAGAACACAGAGAAACCCUUGUGGCUGGCCCUGCCACCCUGAGUGCUGUCUGCCCUCUCUACACCAUUGUCGGGCUAAACACUUGCUCGUGAUCGUUCAUUCCUCUUUAACGUCGUCGCCGUCGAGAGAAUGGUUUCAGUGCAUCGUGUUCUGGAGGUGCUGGUGAAGCCCCAUUCUUUACAGCCUCAAAUCUAGUAUGCCGAUGCUCCAGGAUGGGUGAAUCGGGGUUUAAAGGCAUCCAGAGCAUCAUGGACACAAGAAGGACCCACUAGGGAGGCAGGGCUGGCCCUGAUGCUACCGGCGGCCUCCCUCUCCCGUCAAGAGCAGCAUCUUUUUGAUCCCCUCCUCUAACUCUGUCCACACUGUUUUCCUCAUUUCUCUAUAUUCAAUGUACAGUACAACUCAGAGCAUCAGGGCGAAACUGCCUGUGGCCUCAGCCUCUAGCCUGCAGCCCCGAUCUCAACAUGAAGUGCCUGGUCAAGCUGCUUGUCAUGAUCUGAACAUGGCUGCUUCCAUGUCCUCUACGGUCGCCACCUGCCUCUGCUUAUCUGCAGACACUGCCGCCCUGCUGUCUUCUCAGAAAACAUAACUGAGGUUAUGAGCUCCACAUCCCUGCAGCUCCCCAUGCCUUUGUACACACUGGAAUGCAUAUCUGGACUCCUAACCUCUUGCGGGUAUCUCUAACAAGACUAGAGCUUGCAAGCAUCUAGCUGCCCGUCCUGCGGGCCAGGUUAUUUGAUGAGACCCGAGGAGGCACCUCCUGAAAGAUCAAUGGGGGUGAGAGAGAAAGGAGACCAGGCGCGUAAAGGAAGACAGAGACAUUCUGAGUUGCGUCGAGGUCUCCGUUUAUUGACUGGGUGUUGAGGCUUAUAAACAGGGCUUCAGGCAGGGAGGGGGAGCAGGGGGAGCAGGGAGAUAAGAAUGGAAAAUUCUUAAGGGAGGGUGAGGUCGCUUUGGUCCCAGGCCCCUGCAGCCGACUAACAGGCUCCAGAAAGUUUAUCUAAUCGUAUAUCCUGCAGUUAGACAAAGUUCAGGACACAGCUGUCAGGAGUCGGUCCCCAACAUCUAGCCAGCAGUUCUGAGGGCCCAUGGCUCACGGAGCACAGCCCCCCCCACCCAUGCCCUUCCUGUCUGGUUGGACAUUCUCUUCCUUUUGCCCCUGUGCUGUAGGGUGGCUCCCUGCAAGGCAUCCCCAUGCCCCGGGGCCUUUUCUUUCCUAAGUAUCACCACUGUCCUCCCCAAGAUGGACAAAGCUUGCUGAUCACUAUGUGACAGAAGCCACACCCAAGGUGAAGUCUGGUCCCCAGUUCACUGCCGGUGCAUCGAUUUCCCAUCAUCUCAUAUUUUCACACAGCCUCUCUAUUGACGACACUUUGAACUUGCCCUCUGUGGGUGAAACAUGUGCUGUUGAUUCUUGCUAUGUCCUAGAGCCAAGCUCAGGAUAAGGAGCUGGCUAUGGCCAUGCUGGGCCAAGGAGAGGAAUCUCAGCCCCUACUCACCUGCGUUAUUCCCAGUCCAGAGUAGUGAAACUUGUAUAGGACUGCUCCUUUUUUAGAAGCCAAUUUCUCUGCAAGCUCAGCCCUCCCUCAUCCCUGCUGAACUGUUAUGGAUAAAGGCGGGGCUUGGCCUUGCACUUCUUAGCAAGAAAGGAACUUGGAGGCAUCAGCCUGACGUCCCUGGUGGACCUGUGGACCAGGCCCGGAGCUCCUCCUGGCUUCCUUUGCAAGUUGCUGUCUGUGGGAUCUCAAGGCAUCUGUUGAUUUGUGACUAAUGAUUGUUCUCGCCCAGCAAGUACAAAGCUGACUGGCUGGCUACAAAGGAGACUAAACGUUUACUAUCUGGCCCUCUAUAGAAAAGGUUGGCCAAUGCUAAUGGAGACCCCUGGCUUUGUAACUUGCUACCAGAACAAAAGCCACCUGCCUGCAGACCUCUAGGCCAGUGAUCCCACAUUAACCUGAGAGGAUGAGGGGUGGGCGAGCAUCUAGUCACGGCCUCAGGGAGAGAGAGCACAGUUCCCACUUCGGGAAGCUGACAUGACAGACGGAUGUGCCCCAUUUGCCUCAGGGGGUGCUUAGUCUUCUCUUGCCAACGGGCACCUUGUACGUGGCCCGACUCCUUUCCUGGGCCUCCCACUGCUGGCUGCCACAGUUUCUUGCCAUGUGAGGGAACAAGGCAGAGAAAAUGACGCACCUACCAACAGUACCCACUCCGACCCACAGGAAGGACUGCACCAUGCCGUUCAUCAAUGGUACAAACCCUACCUUCAUUUCAUCUGCUCAACAAGAUGCCAGCGUGCCUGUCAUACCACAGCUCCACCUGGCACUCAGUCCAGAGCAGAAACCAGCUUCCUCAGACCCUAAUCGCCUCCCACAGCUCAAAUCCUGUCACAGCUGAAUGCAGCUCAGUGACAGAGCCUUUGCCAAAUCCUAUGUCAGCAGCACCUCGGACUCAUCACCACAAGCCUCCAGCUGGCCAGGACCCUUCCACCAUGUUCAGACACCUCCACCAGCAAGUACCAAACCAGGUAUUGUUGUUGCUAAGACUUCCUGAGUGGUCUUGGCUGGCAGGCAUUGGCACUGGCAAUAAAUAGGGCCACCACGCUACUGGCAGGCACUGGAAUCUGAUCAGCGCUCACUGGGAUUUCCAGGUUCUUGUUUCCUGGUAAAAGAAACGGCUCAGGGACGUGUGAAUAGUAGUAGAAGCAGAGACAGUUUAUUAAGGAAGAAAGCACCUCCAGGGGAAAACAUGGGCCAGAGUUUGAAGAAAGGUCAGAAGCUCAAUGGCGCCAGCGCCUAGGGGUCAUUGCAGAGUGUAAGCUUUUUGUGGAUCUGCUAUGCGUUGGCUGCGCAGGGGAUGGGGUCAAGUCCCUUCUGCCAGCUGGUUUCUUUCAUAUGCUAAUGCAGACCUACCUCUCUGCCCUGCUCUCCUGACACAAUCCCCGCUGUCACUAAGGGUCAUGCUGGCUGUUGGUCCUUUUCCAGGUUCCAGGUCACAAGGCCCAUGCCAGUAGUUCUGCAUGCAGAUCAGCAGCAGAUUGCUAAUAAAGCUUUCUCCCAAUUGGA